rnacentral:rRNA from 1 species
CCUACGGGAGGCAGCAGUGGGGAAUAUUGCACAAUGGGGGAAACCCUGAUGCAGCGACGCCGCGUGAGUGAAGAAGUAUUUCGGUAUGUAAAGCUCUAUCAGCAGGGAAGAAAAAAGACGGUACCUGAUUAAGAAGCCCCGGCUAACUACGUGCCAGCAGCCGCGGUAAUACGUAGGGGGCAAGCGUUAUCCGGAUUUACUGGGUGUAAAGGGAGCGUAGACGGAGAAGCAAGUCUGAAGUGAAAGCCCGUGGCUUAACCACGGGACUGCUUUGGAAACUGUUUGACUGGAGUGCUGGAGAGGUAAGUGGAAUUCCUAGUGUAGCGGUGAAAUGCGUAGAUAUUAGGAGGAACACCAGUGGCGAAGGCGGCUUACUGGACAGUAACUGACGUUGAGGCUCGAAAGCGUGGGGAGCAAACAGGAUUAGAUACCCCUGUAGUC